AUGAGUGGGGAGAAACGACCAUAUGCCAGUUUCUCUACAGGCCUCACAGCCUCCCAGCCUACCAGGGCUUUGGUUGAUGGACCUUGCACUCAGGUGAGGAGACAGGCCAUGCCUUUCAAGUGCAUGCAGCUCACUGAUUUCACCCUCAAGUUUCCACACAGUGCCCACCAGAAGUAUGUCCGGCAAGCCUGGCAGAAGGCAGACAUCAAUACGAAAUGGGCAACCACUCGAUGGGCCAAGAAGAUUGAAGCCAGAGAAAGGAAAGCCAAGAUGACAGGUUUUGAUCGUUUUAAAGUUAUGAAGGCAAAGAAAAUGAGGAACAGAAUAAUCAAGAAUGAAGUUAAGAAGCUUCAAAAGGCAGCUCUCCUGAAAGCUUCUCCCAAAAAAGCGCCUGCUGCUAAGGGUGCUGCUGCAGCUGCUGCUAAGUCACAGCAAAAAAGAUGACCGCUGCAGGCAAGAAGGCUCCAGCCCAGAAGGCUCCUGCCCAGAAAGUCACAGGCCAGAAGGCAGCGCCUGCUCCAAAAGCUCAAAAGGGUCAAAAACUCUAGCCCAGAAAGCACCUGCUCCAAAGGCAUCUGGCAAGAAAGCAUGAGAGGCAGUUAUACAAAGUAAUAAAGGUUCUUUUCGACAUGUUGGCAAA